rnacentral:rRNA from 1 species
GGGGAAUUUUCCGCAAUGGGCGAAAGCCUGACGGAGCAAUACCGCGUGAGGGAGGAAGGCUCUUGGGUUGUAAACCUCUUUUCUCAGGGAAGAAGAAAGUGACGGUACCUGAGGAAUAAGCAUCGGCUAACUCCGUGCCAGCAGCCGCGGUAAUACGGAGGAUGCAAGCGUUAUCCGGAAUGAUUGGGCGUAAAGAGUCCGUAGGUGGGAAUUCAAGUCUGCCGUGAAAGGUCGGGGCUCAACUCCGAACAAGCGGUGGAAACUGAAGAGCUAGAGGUUGGUAGGGGUAGAGGGAAUUCCCAGUGUAGCGGUGAAAUGCGUAGAGAUUGGGAAGAACACCGGUGGCGAAAGCGCUCUACUGGACCAAGACUGACACUGAGGGACGAAAGCUAGGGGAGCGAAUGGGAUUAGAUACCCCAGUAGUCCUAGCCGUAAACGAUGGAUACUAGGCGUUGUUGGUAUCGACCCCAACAGUGCCGGAGCUAACGCGUUAAGUAUCCCGCCUGGGGAGUACGCGCGCAAGCGUGAAACUCAAAGGAAUUGACGGGGGCCCGCACAAGCGGUGGAGUAUGUGGUUUAAUUCGAUGCAACGCGAAGAACCUUACCAGGGCUUGACAUGUCCGGGACCCCGGUGAAAGCUGGGGGUGCCUUAGGGAACCGGAACACAGGUGGUGCAUGGCUGUCGUCAGCUCGUGUCGUGAGAUGUUGGGUUAAGUCCCGCAACGAGCGCAACCCUCGUGUUUAGUUGCCAGCAUUAAGUUGGGCACUCUAGAGAGACUGCCGGUGACAAACCGGAGGAAGGUGGGGAUGACGUCAAGUCAGCAUGCCCCUUACGCCCUGGGCUACACACGUACUACAAUGCUACGGACAAAGGGCAGCCAGACAGCGAUGUCGAGCAAAUCCCAUAAACCGUGGCUCAGUUCAGAUCGCAGGCUGCAACUCGCCUGCGUGAAGGUGGAAUCGCUAGUAAUCCCAGAUCAGCAGUGCUGGGGUGAAUACGUUCCCGGGCCUUGUACACACCGCCCGUCACACCAUGGAAGUUGGCCACGCCCGAAGUCGUUACCCUAACCGCAAGGAGGGGGAUGCCGAAGGCAGGGCUGAUGACUGGGGUGAAGUCGUAACAAGGUAGCCGUACCGGAAGGUGUGGCUGGAUCACCUCCUU